rnacentral:rRNA from 1 species
AUUGAACGCUGGCGGCAGGCCUAACACAUGCAAGUCGAGCGGAUGAAGGGAGCUUGCUCCUGGAUUCAGCGGCGGACGGGUGAGUAAUGCCUAGGAAUCUGCCUGGUAGUGGGGGAUAACGUCCGGAAACGGGCGCUAAUAUCGCGUACGUCCUGUGGGGGAAAGAGGGGGAUCCUCGGACCCCUCGCUAUCAGAUGAGCCUAGGUCGGUUUAGCUAGUUGGUGGGGUAAAGGCCUACCAAGGCGACGAUCCGUAACUGGUCUGAGAGGAUGAUCAGUCACACUGGGACUGAGACACGGUCCAGACUCCUACGGGAGGCAGCAGUGGGGAAUAUUGGACAAUGGGCGAAAGCCUGAUCCAGCAAUGCCGCGUGUGUGAAGAAGGUCUUCGGAUUGUAAAGCACUUUAGGUUGGGAGGAAGGGCAGUAAGUUAAUACCUUGCUGUUUUGACGUUACCAACAGAAUAAGCACCGGCUAACUUCGUG